rnacentral:rRNA from 1 species
UACGUAGGGGGCAAGCGUUGUCCGGAUUUAUUGGGGUUAAAGGGUGCGUAGGCGGUUUGGUAAGUCAGUGGUGAAAUAUGGCAGCUCAACUGUCAGGGUGCCAUUGAUACUGCAGAGCUUGAGUACAGAUGAGGUAGGCGGAAUUGACGGUGUAGCGGUGAAAUGCUUAGAUAUCGUCAAGAACACCGAUAGCGAAGGCAGCUUACUGGGCUGUAACUGACGCUGAGGCACGAAAGUGUGGGGAUCAAACAGG